UACAUUCUAAAAUCAGUUAUACUUCAGCUCAAUCGAAAAAAGAGAAGAAAAAAAAAACAUAUUGGUCUUGAGUAAUGGAAUCGUUACCUCACGAUGUGGUUGAGCUUAUUCUAGAGAGACUGGCGAUGAAACCUCUCAUGAGAUUUAAAUGUGUAUCAAAGCAAUGGAAAACAACAAUCGAAUCCGAAUACUUCAAACAGAGAGUGUUGAAACGAGAUCCGAGUGUGCUUCUUCAAGUGCUCGUUGUUCCUACACAUGAGAUAGAUCAUACAAGGGAGAGGACUAUAGAUGCUAAUGCACAAGCACAACGUAAACAAGAUGACUUCAUUUGUUUUUUAUACCUCCUAACAGGGGUUUUGCUUUUCUCUCCCUUGUUCUUUUUAAUACUCUCACUAAACUAAUUUAUUUUAUUAUAUUUCAUCUACGUUUGAUAUGAAAAUGUUUAGAUGCGGCAAGUACUAAGCAUAUGUCAAUGUCAAAUGUAAAUGAAAUAUAAUAAAAUAAAUAUAGUAUAUAUAUAUAUUCUACGUUCUGUUAUAAAUAUUGUAGUGAUGUCCAUAUGGAAAGUCCUAGAUAUACUUGUUCCCCACUCCAAGUUAAGCUUUGUCUCCAAGCUAUUGUAUCCUAUAUAAGGAGAUCAUUAUUCAUGGAAUAAGACACACAAAUUCCUCUCUUCUCUUCUCUUCUCUUCUUUAUUUACAACACGUUAUCAGCACGAGACUCUAAACCCUAGCUAAAAUCCAGCGACCACAAAAACCUUAAUUUCAGCCGCAACUUUAAACCGUCAUAUCUCCCUAACCGUAAGGAUCCAGACGGCGAGUAAUAUAUCAAAUUGAAGCUCUUGACGAGACGAAUCCAGAGCCGCAGACCACGCAUCAAUCCGACUCCAGACGCGCCGUCACCUCCCAGUGCAAGCCGCGCCGUCAAAGAUCAUCCAAAACCCUAAUAGCCGCCAACUCCUUAUCUCUCUUAAUUUCGAUUUCUAUUGUUCUUAGAUCUCAUACUAAUCCAACUUUGAAACUUUCAUUGUUGAUUAUUUAAGGUUUCUAAAAGAGGAACCAAGGAGAAAAGAUCGGCAAAGAUUAAGGUUACCAGUCCGAUCCACACAGUGCUAAGUCCCAAACCGGCUAUGUUUUCACAUAUGGAGGCACGACCAUUUCAUGGAGAUCAGUCAAGCAGACUAUAUCAGCCACAUCAUCCAAUCACUCGGAUAUAUUGGCGAUCCAUGAAGCAAGCGGAGAGUGUGUCUGGUUGAAACUCAUGACACACCAUAUUCGGACAGCAUGUGGGAUCACGGAUGGUAAAGACGAGCCGACCGUUCUUUACGAAGACAAUACGGCCUGCAUAGCUCAGCUCAAAGAUGGUUACAUCAAGGGUGACAAGACUAAGCAUGUUCUCCCCAAGUUCUUCUUCACCAACGAUCUUCAGAAAGAAGGAGAGGUCAAGGUCCUCUAAGUCAGAUCUAGCGAGAACUCAGCCGACCUCUUCACUUAGGCAUUACCAACAUGCACGCUCAGGAAGCUUAUGCAGCAGAUUGGUAUGCGAUCACUGAGAAGCCUUCAGUGAUAUUCACUUCAGGGGAAGUAAUGCGGCUGUACUCUUUUUCCUAUCCAUGGCUUCCCGUUUUUACCACAUUGGGUUUUUGGGUUUACCAUGGAAAGGUUUUAACGAGGCAGUAUUCCAAACGCAUUACAAACUCUAGACGGUUAUGGCAUUACAAUCUCGGUUUUUAACGAGACAGCAUCUACGGCGUUUUGAAAGCACUUCGACAUAUUGGACAUCAAGGGGAAGUGUUAUAAAUAUUGUAGUGAUGUCCAUAUGGAAAGUCCUAGAUAUACUUGUUCCCCACUCCAAGUUAAGCUUUGUCUCCAAGCUAUUGUAUCCUAUAUAAGGAGAUCAUUAUUCAUGGAAUAAGACACACAAAUUCCUCUCUUCUCUUCUCUUCUCUUCUUUAUUUACAACACGUUCAUGUUUUUUGUAAUUUGCUUUUUACAUAGUCAUUCAGUUAAUUAGCUUUGACAAAUAUGCUUGGUAUCUAGGGAUCUUACUAACUUCCUGUCAUGGUCUCGAACCGGGAUGGUUUAGAUUCUGUUUCGGUAACUUGUGUUGUGCUUGCUUGUUGUUAUAAACUUAUCUCAAAAAGUUUGUGGAACAAGUAAAUUCUCAAAAGGUUUGUGAAACAAAAGAAUAAAACCUUUUUCUAAUCUCUGAAGGAAAGAGAACGCUUUCGCGGUUCCUAACGCAGUCCGAAACCUUCUGUGCCAGUUCAAAUCAGUAUGAUCGCCUCCACGGCUCGUGCUGGCUCCUCCUCCUCCAGGGCGGAUUCUCGAGUGCAGAUUAUCGUAGAGGCUACCGUACUGGUCAACAAGAUAACCAGCUAUAAACCAGACAAACCGGAUUAAUGGUUUAAACUGAACGAAGCGCAGUUGAAUUUGUAUUUUCCUAAGAUAAUCAAUUCGAUAACUACAAGUAUCCGAUUUA